rnacentral:rRNA from 1 species
CUACGGGAGGCUGCAGUGGGGAAUAUUGGACAAUGGGGGGAACCCUGAUCCAGCCAUGCCGCGUGUGUGAAGAAGGCCCUCGGGUUGUAAAGCACUUUCAGUGAGGAAGAACGCCUGGUGGUUAAUACCCAUCAGGAAAGACAUCACUCACAGAAGAAGCACCGGCUAACUCCGUGCCAGCAGCCGCGGUAAUACGGAGGGUGCGAGCGUUAAUCGGAAUUACUGGGCGUAAAGCGCGCGUAGGUGGCUUGAUAAGCCGGUUGUGAAAGCCCCGGGCUCAACCUGGGAACGGCAUCCGGAACUGUCAAGCUAGAGUGCAGGAGAGGAAGGUAGAAUCCCCGGUGUAGCGGUGAAAUGCGUAGAGAUCGGGAGGAAUACCAGUGGCGAAGGCGGCCUUCUGGACUGACACUGACACUGAGGUGCGAAAGCGUGGGUAGCAAACAGGAUUAGAUACCCUGGUAGUC